rnacentral:rRNA from 1 species
CAGCCGCCGCGGUAAUACAGAGGGUGCGAGCGUUAAUCGGAUUUACUGGGCGUAAAGCGUGCGUAGGCGGCUUCUUAAGUCGGAUGUGAAAUCCCUGAGCUUAACUUAGGAAUUGCAUUCGAUACUGGGAAGCUAGAGUAUGGGAGAGGAUGGUAGAAUUCCAGGUGUAGCGGUGAAAUGCGUAGAGAUCUGGAGGAAUACCGAUGGCGAAGGCAGCCAUCUGGCCUAAUACUGACGCUGAGGUACGAAAGCAUGGGGAGCAAACAGGAUUAGAUACCCCGGUAGUCCCUGUCUCUUAUAA